GGGGAUUUAGCUCAGUGGUAAGAGCGCUUACCUAGGAAAGCACAAGGCCCUGGGUUCGAUCCCCAGCUCCG
rnacentral:tRNA from 1 species